AUGGCAGCUUUGCAAUGAUCAGUGUUGGGGAAGGGUACUCUGAAAAAGUUACUUAUUACUCUUCCAAGUUACUGGUGUAAUUAUUAGAUUAAAAAGAUUAAAUAAUUAAAUUAAUAAGGCAUCAGGCAAAAUUGUAUGCCUUUACAUAGUAAUUGUACACACAGUAUAUAGAUCACUAACUUAUGAUGUUUUGAAAUUAUUUCCCCCCAAAUACAAAGUAAUCCCUUUCAAAACUAACUUGUUUCUGGAAUAGAUUACUUUUAAGAGACCCCCACAAUACUAAUGAUAUACCUUUUUAGAUGAAAAUCAUCCAAUAUUUUUGGUCACGUCAACCUGACUUUGGAGUGGCCAAACAUGUCUUUUUUCCCCAUCUCGGCUCGCAGCUAUGAACUCCGUGCCCGCACACGGGGGAGAAUGAGGAAGUGGAGGCAGACUCCUCUGCCCUGAGCACCUUCAAGCUGCUGGACUCCGGCAGGAGGUUCAGUGCCAAUUGGAGAUGCAUAACGGAAGGUGAGCACCGGGAAUGUAGUCUUGGAAGCAAGUAAUGCUCAAAAAGGCACAGCUUUGGUGAAGCAGAUGAAUGCCUGUAUUCCUUCUGCUGUAAUCUUCUGCCUUUAGGCUCCUGUCCUCUCAUGAGAAAAAAAAAUACAUAUGUUUUACAGUUAAUAAGACAUGUAUUUUUGACUUUCUUUUAACUUGAAUCAUGAUAAAAUAACCAGAUCAGACCUUUAACCACGAAUAAAACCACACUCAAUGUCAAUACCACCUUGCACCUUUUCUCCAGACUUUUUAUGUACAAAAUCAAUUGUAACUUGCAGACAAGACUAAAAUGUCAAUAAAAAACAUGCAAAAACCUGUACAUUUACAAUAAUUGUACAUAUGGUAUAUAUUUAUUAAGAAUGAUUAGGUCAAUAAACAAUUAAGCAUGACUAGUUUUGGUUUUUGCUUUCUGGACAUUUGGGUCAAUUGCUUUUAAUGUUAUUGGCAGCUGUGAAAGGGAGAGACUGCUGACUAAGGGGUUACCAUGCCCUCCCAGACUGAAGCCUUAACGUUUGUGUAAUAUUUCAUAUUACACAGAGACAAGGCAGUCCUCCUUCUUGGACUGGGCUUAACUGGAAUUAAGUAAUAGAUGCCUUGGCUUUUGUCAUCUUCACUGUGAGCAAACAAGCACGUGAGACACUAAAAAUACCUGAUUCCUUUCAAACAGGAUGGUUAUCAAUGGUGACAGAAUGUGUGUUGUCUAUAACCUGAUUUUAAACAGUAUUUUAUUUAAUUGGUCUUGACCCUGUGUGUGUGUGGGUACAUACUUGUUAUCUGGUCUAAGAUCACAUUUCUUUUUUGUUUCUGUAUAAUGCUAAUUUUUUCAUUGGAAACAUCGGUUGUCCUUCUUUUUGCAACUUGUGGUCUCUGUACAGUAUAUUGAAUUGUUUGUAGUCUCAGUAUGACACGUUGUGGAUUACUCUCUCAUCUCAGGACGCCUCUCUCACAAUACCCAGAGCUCUGCGUUCUGUCACCAACAUCCUUGAUGUCAAAUUCUGUGUUGUCUGUAUGCACAAUAAACAAAGUUUUUUUUCUAUCUGA